CCUACGGGAGGCAGCAGUGGGGAAUAUUGCACAAUGGGGGAAACCCUGAUGCAGCGACGCCGCGUGAGUGAAGAAGUAUUUCGGUAUGUACAGCUCUAUCAGCAGGGAAGAAAAUGACGGUCCCUGACUAAGAAGCCCCGGCUAACUACGUGCCAGCAGCCGCGGUAAUACGUAGGGGGCAAGCGUUAUCCGGAUUUACUGGGUGUAAAGGGAGCGUAGACGGCAGCGCAAGUCUGAAGUGAAAUCCCAGUGCUUAACCAUGGAACUGCUUUGGAAACUGUGCAGCUGGAGUGCAGGAGAGGUAAGCGGAAUUCCUAGUGUAGCGGUGAAAUGCGUAGAUAUUAGGAGGAACACCAGUGGCGAAGGCGACUUACUGGACUGUAACUGACGUUGAGGCUCGAAAGCGUGGGGAGCAAACAGGAUUAGAUACCCCAGUAGUC
rnacentral:rRNA from 1 species